rnacentral:tRNA from 1 species
GCGGCUAUGGUGUUCGGCGGUCAACAUACCGGCCUGUCACGUCGGAGCCACGGGUUCGAAUCCCGUUAGCCGCGCCA